rnacentral:rRNA from 1 species
AUGGCGACCGGCGUACGGGUGAGUAACGCGUAUCCAACCUGCCCUUUACUAUGGGACAGCCCGUCGAAAGGCGGAUUAAUACCGUAUGUUGUCAUGUUGAUGCAUAUUUUCAUGACCAAAGGCUUCGGCCGGUAAAGGAUGGGGAUGCGUCUGAUUAGCUUGCCGGCGGGGUAACGGCCCACCGGGGCGACGAUCAGUAGGGGUUCUGAGAGGAAGGUCCCCCACAUUGGAACUGAGACACGGACCAGACUCCUACGGAAGGCAGCAG